AGUAUGAGCAUGUUAGCAAUACACAAUCCCAAAUACAAACUAUUUCGUUAUUAAUUAACAAGUUAACAUUCCGCCAGCUAUGAUGGUAACUGACAGAAUUGUAAUUAAACAAAUCAGAAGAAUGAAAGGAAUAUAUCAUUUGGGACAGCCUCGACCACUGCCAGGAUCGGUGGAAUGUUGGCACCAUUUUCCAGUCUUUUGGCUGCAAAUCUACUGUGGGCACCGGGAGCUAUAUUUGGAGCAUGUUGUUUAAUCGUGACAAUUACCAUUUUAUAUUUACCAGAAACGAUGGGCAAGGAAUUGCCACAAACCAUGGAGGAUCUUAAUAAACUUUAUGAUAAAUAGCAGGGCAAUGCAUAAACUUUAUGAUAAAUAGGGAGGACCAUGGAUG